rnacentral:rRNA from 1 species
UGGGGAAUAUUGCACAAUGGAGGGAACUCUGAUGCAGCGACGCCGCGUGAACGAAGAAGGCUUUCGAGUCGUAAAGUUCUUUUAUAUGGGAAGAUAAUGACGGUACCAUAAGAAAAAGCCCCGGCUAACUACGUGCCAGCAGCCGCGGUAAUACGUAGGGGGCUAGCGUUGUCCGGAAUCACUGGGCGUAAAGGGUUCGCAGGCGGAAAUGCAAGUCAGGUGUAAAAGGCAGUAGCUUAACUACUAUAAGCAUUUGAAACUGCAUAUCUUGAGAAGAGUAGAGGUAAGUGGAAUUUUUAGUGUAGCGGUGAAAUGCGUAGAUAUUAAAAAGAAUACCGGUGGCGAAGGCGACUUACUGGGCUCAUUCUGACGCUGAGGAACGAAAGCGUGGGUGGCAAACAGG